rfam:Sus scrofa chromosome 3.
UCCUUGGUGGCUCAAUGGGUUAAGGAUCUGGCAUUGUCGCUGCUGUGGCGCAGGUUCGAUUCCUGGCCCAGGAA